AGAUGUAGUUCAGUGGUAGAGCACGUGCCUAGAAUGCUUAAGGCCUUGGGUUCAAUUCCCAGUACUA
rnacentral:tRNA from 1 species